AGGACGAACGCUGGCGGCGUGCUUAACACAUGCAAGUCGAGCGGAAAGGCCCUUCGGGGUACUCGAGCGGCGAACGGGUGAGUAACACGUGAGCAACCUGCCCUUAGCUUCGGGAUAGCUCCGGGAAACCGGAAUUAAAUACCGAAUAUGACUGCGGCUGACAUCAGCCGCGGUGGAAAGUUUUUCGGCUAGGGAUGGACUCGCGGCCUAUCAGCUAGUUGGUGAGGUAACGGCCCACCAAGGCGACG
rnacentral:rRNA from 1 species